rnacentral:piRNA from 1 species
UGAAGAAGUGCUUGGCCAAGAGAAUGGCGUGU